rnacentral:rRNA from 1 species
AGCGAACGCUGGCGGCAGGCUUAACACGUGCAAGUCGAACGGUCCUUCGGGAUAGUGGCGGACGGGUGAGUAACACGUGGGAACGUACCCUUAGGUUCGGAACAACACAGGGAAACUUGUGCUAAUACCGGAUAAGCCCUUCGGGGGAAAGAUUUAUCGCCUUUGGAGCGGCCCGCGUCUGAUUAGCUUGUUGGUGAGGUAAUGGCUCACCAAGGCUACGAUCAGUAGCUGGCCUGAGAGGAUGGCCAGCCACAUUGGGACUGAGACACAGACCAUACUCCUACUUGAUGCAGCUGUGAGGAAUUUUGCUCUAUGGCUGAAAGCCUUACGCAGCCAUUCUGCGUGGAUGAUAAAUGACGAUGAAUCUUGUCCUUUGUCGCGAUGGGGCGUAUUGGGC